AUUGAACGCUGGCGGCAUGCCUUACACAUGCAAGUCGAACGGCAGCACGGGAGCAAUCCUGGUGGCGAGUGGCGAACGGGUGAGUAAUGUAUCGGAACGUGCCCAGUCGUGGGGGAUAACGUAGCGAAGGCUACGCUAAUACCGCAUACGAUCUAUGGAUGAAAGCGGGGGACCGUAAGGCCUCGCGCGAUUGGAGCGGCCGAUAUCCGAUUAGGUAGUUGGUGGGGUAAAGGCCUACCAAGCCGACGAUCUGUAGCUGGUUUGAGAGGACGACCAGCCACACUGGGACUGAGACACGGCCCAGACUCCUACGGGAGGCAGCAGUGGGGAAUUUUGGACAAUGGGCGCAAGCCUGAUCCAGCAAUGCCGCGUGCAGGAUGAAGGCCUUCGGGUUGUAAACUGCUUUUGUACGGAGCGAAAAGGCUCUCUCUAAUACAGGGGGCUCAUGACGGUACCGUAAGAAUAAGCACCGGCUAACUACGUGCCAGCCGCCGCAGUAAUAC
rnacentral:rRNA from 1 species